rnacentral:piRNA from 1 species
UGGGUCAUCAAGGACAAUUGCUCUGCCCC